UACGUAGGGGCCAAGCGUUGUUCGGAUUCACUGGGCGUAAAGGGUGCGUAGGCGGCCGGGUAAGUCUGAUGUGAAAUCCCGCAGCUUAACUGCGGAACUGCAUCGGAUACUCUCCGGCUAGAGGAAUGGAGGGGAGACUGGAAUUCUCGGUGUAGCAGUGAAAUGCGUAGAUAUCGAGAGGAACACCAGUGGCGAAGGCGAGUCCCUGGAAAAUACCUGACACUGAGGCACGAAAGCUAGGGGAGCAAACAGG
rnacentral:rRNA from 1 species